CUCAGCUAAAUGUCCAGUUUCAUCACUUACAACUUCUACCUUCCACAAAACACUAGAACAUAAACAUAAUUCAGUCGAUUUCUUUACCACUUUACAACAAGGAUCACCUUUUCUCUAUUGUCCAGUAAUUCAUUCUGCAUUUCUACCUAACACCUCAUCAAAAUGGCCCUUCCUAUCCAUAUUUCUGCCAACAUUCUAGACAUGGUUAUUUAUGAGUAACUUUCUCUACAGCUUUCCUCUUUCUUUUCUGAGCCCUCACUCAAGUUGCUUUUAAAAGUCUCUUCAUGGCAAUAUCAGCUUUUAUAGCAUGCAAUUCAAGACUCUACCCUUUACCUAGUUCCCAAGCUACUUCUACAUUUUAAAAUAUUUGUUAUAGUAGCACCUCUACUCUCAGUAGAGGUCUCAGUCUGCUCAUGCUGCUAUUACAAAUAGCAUAAACUAGAUGGCUUAAGCAACAUUUAUUUCUCACAGUUCUGGAGGCUGAGAAGUGCAAGUUCAAGGUGCCAGCAGAUUAAAUGCCUGGUGAAGGUUACUUUUCUGGUUUUAAAACAGUUGUCUUCAUGCUGUAUCUUCACGUGGCUGAGAGAGAUGAUCUCUGUCAUGUCUUUUCUUAUAAGUGUACUGAUCCCAUUCAUAAAGGGUUCACUCUCAUGAUCUAAUUAUUUUCAGUGUCCUCACCUUCAAAUACUUUGGAGAUUAGGACUUCAACAUAUAAAUUUUGGGGUGAUAACAACAUUCUGUUCAUAGCAAAAGGUAUAAGAAGGAUUGGCUGAUGUCCACAGUUUACUUAAGGUUCAUUGUUUUCCAAAAAGUUUAUUCCUGUACAAAUACAAGUACAUAAAUAUACAUAAGUAUAAAUAUGUACAUAUAUAUUUUUCCAUUUAUUUAUUUUUGCUAAAUGUCUUUUUUUUUUUUUUUUUUUUUUUUUUUUUUUUUUUUUUUUUUUGAGGUAGAAUCUUGCUCUGUCACCCAGGCUGGAGUGUAGUGGCAUGAUCCUGGCUCACUGCAACCUCCGCCCCCUGGGUUCAAGCAAUUCUUGUGCCUCAACCUCCAUAGUAGCUGGGAUUACAAGCGUGUGCUACCAGGGCCAGCUAAUUUUUAUGUUUUUAGUAGAGAUGGGGUUUUGCCAUGCUGGCAAGGCUGGUCUCAAACUCCUGACCUCAAGUGAUCUACCCGCCUCAGCCUCCUAAAGUGCUGGGAUUACAGGCAUGAGCCACUGCACCCAGCCAAUUUUUGCUAAAUGUCUUGGUUGACAUUAUGAGCUUUGAUAGUAUUGGCAAACUUAGAGACUUAUGGAAAAUUGAGUAUUUUUCCCACAUAAACAUCAAAAUUUUUCUAUAUUAAAUAAGCUAUUUUCUGAAACUCUUUACUUACGAGAAUUUUUUGUACAUUAAUGAGUUGACUUUACUUGAAAUAGCCAUCAGAAUUAUAAUUGCAGUCUCCUAAAUUUAAUAUUUUUAAAUUAUUUCAAAAGAAUAUGACUCACAGCAACUCAAGGAAGGAAUAAGUGGAAAUCUUUUCUUAUAGGCUUAUAUGUUGUAUACAUCAAAAAAAUAAAGUCACUUAAAGAGAAAAUGAUGGGGAGUCUUUUGAGGCAGUGAUGUUAACUGUCUUUUUCACAUCUAUAGCCCUCCAUCUAGUAUUUUAAGCACUUAAAUUUAUCAAUUAAUUAAUUGUGAAAGAUAUAUAAUUCCUUGUUCUUAAAGCUGCUGUUACAUUUUUAGUCUCCAAACUUACAAGCAUGUGCUGUGUGCACAUAGACACAUGAAUAGUUUCAACAAUAGGUACAAGCAAACCUUGCAUGAAUACCAUUAUUUAAAGAUUUUGAAUUUUUUAAAAUAUAAGAAUCAUUAUCAUUAUAAAAAUAAAAACUUUAUUUGAUGUUCUUAAAAUUAUUGCAUGUCUUUGAAUUGUUUAUGAAUUUCAUAGAAAAGAAGGGGAAUGGGGCUUCAUAAUUCUUUGGUGCUCAUAGUCCCUGAAGAGUUUCCGGUUCAUUCGGAAUCCAGG
rnacentral:lncRNA from 10 species